CUACGGGCCGACCAGUGAGGAAUAUUGCACAAUGGGGGGAACCCUGAUGCAGCAACGCCGCGUGGAGGAUGACGCAUUUCGGUGUGUAAACUCCUUUUAUAUGUCAAGAAAAUGACGGUAGCAUAUGAAUAAGCACCGGCUAACUCCGUGCCAGGCAGCCGCGGUAAUACGGAGGGUGCAAGCGUUACUCGGAAUCACUGGGCGUAAAGGACGCGUAGGCGGGUUGGAAAGUCAGGUGUGAAAUCCUACAGCUUAACUGUAGAACUGCACUUGAAACUUCUAAUCUAGAGUAUGGGAGGGGGAGAUGGAAUUAGUGGUGUAGGGGUAAAAUCCGUAGAUAUCACUAGGAAUACCUAAAGCGAAGGCGAUCUCCUGGAACAUUACUGACGCUAAGGCGUGAAAGCGUGGGGAGCAAACAGGAUUAGAUACCCUCGUAGUC
rnacentral:rRNA from 1 species